rnacentral:lncRNA from 1 species
GUUCAGACCUUGACCCUGUGCAUUUCAGAGACUGUUAAGGGACACACAGAUCCUGGCAGCUGAAAGCGUGAGGUCGAUUUUACAUGCUGUCCCUUCUGAGCGCACUGCUGACACGCCACAACCACACCCUUCUGAGGAUGCAGAGCCAGGAGCUGCAUCAGUGUCCACGCUCUGGGACGCUGCAGAAGUGCCCGGCAGACCCAGUGAUCAUGGAGAGAACAUAGCCCUGUGCAGCAGAGAGAAGUCAUCAAGCAGAGAGUUUCCUCCUCCGCCCACUAGCAGGUGGGGAGGGACGUGAACACCAGCCUGCACCAGGUCGCACCGUGAAUAAAAUGAUGCAGCACAGAGAGCA